GCUCCUGACUCUCCUCACAGGUCAACUCGAGGUCGGAAAGAUGUCAACAACGCUGGAAGACUACAUGGAGGGCGUUAUUAAUGUCUUCCACCGGUACUCUGUGAGGGUGGGGCAUUUUGACACUCUCUCUAAGGGUGAGCUGAAGCAGCUGAUCACAAAGGAACUUCCAAACACCCUCAAGAAUACCAAAGAUAAAGCUGCCAUUGAUAAACUAUUCCAAGAGCUGGAUGCUGAUCGUGACGGACAGGUCGACUUUAGGGAGUUCCUGAUCCUGUUGGCCAGAGUACUGGAGACAGCUCAUGAAAAUAUCCACAAAGAAUAGGAAACUCUCCCAGAAUUUCUCUCCUAGCAAUGUCCGCAAGAGAUUUCUCACUCCAUCACCAACUCCCAGCCUUGCCUGAGGGAAGGGAUAGGGUGCAAAACAAGUGACAAUGACCUAAGAAUGAUAAGCCUAACAAAGCACCCAUCUUGGGACAAGAAAAGCAGGAUGUUGCCAGAUAAAACCUCCAAGAAAAGAUGAACUCAUCUGGGACGUGACCACCUCAAGGGGGAACUAACACAAACUUCUAAGACCCAUAAUCUUGUCCCUGUAAAAGUCUUCAGCCAAUUUCCAGUGGGGGAGACUGUUUUUUUGGAGGA